rnacentral:lncRNA from 1 species
AUACAGCCUCUGUUCACACUUGUGUGCCAGCAUGCCUGUCUGUCCAGGGCCCUUUGAUGCCACCAACACCUGACAAAGGCAGGCUGGGUGCUGCCAUGCCCCCAUUUUAAAGAUGAGGAAACCGAGGCUGAGAUGGGUGAAGUAACCACAACCUGACCCAGGAAGGGCCAGGCCCACCUCUGGCAGGGGCCCUGAUGCUGAUGAAGAUGUCUUGGAAAGGAAAACCACUCUCCUCGAUCAAUCCCUGCAGCUGCUCGGCAUGGAUGGCAGGGCUCACACGCAGCCUGUCUGCUCCUGUCCAGGCUGCUGAGGACUGUAACCGAAGCCCAUUAGCUGACCGGGAGGGAUAAAUCCAGCUCCUCUGACAACUGCUUCUCGCUGGUCUUCUCUGGGGACAGACAGCCCUCCCCACCCACCCCCUGCUGCUCCUUAAUAUAACUCUGAAGUCAUGCCUAGUGCUCAGAGGAUGGCUUGGGAAGAGAACUUGGGCCUGGGUUCCCCGGUGAUUGGGGGCACAGGGUGGUGGUGGCUGGAGCAGGAGCGUGAAGCCCCAGGCUUCACUCGCAGGGAGUGAGGGGGGCUUGUCUUGGGGCAGUGUCCUGGCACCAUUGAGCUGGGGGUUAACUCAGAGCCAUGAUCCCCCUCAGGUUGCCUGCAAAGUACCCCGGGGCUGAACUCAUGGGGGAUUUUGGGAGAGAGCUGGCUUUCGUCAGAUCCUCAAAGGGAUCCUUGAACUAAGAGGUAAAGAGGCCCCAGUCCGAGGUGCCUGUCUGCCGGCUGCCUGCGACGCUGCAGGGAAGGUCCUGGUACCUGCUCAGAGGGUCUCCCCACCCUCCUGGUCUGCAGGCCCCGCCUGGAGCACUCUCUGCCCCCACUUCCUU